AAUGGGACAACAGAGGUGCCGGCUGUAGCUGGGAAGGACUUGGGGUGCUGUUCACGGACACUUCCUCCUGUACCCCACAUGUGGGGCCCCUCCUCUGCACCCCACCCCAGGAGACCUGUCAGCUGGCGAGGGCCUGGACAGAAUGGCCCCUGGGUGCAGGGACACGUGCCAGCCCGCAUCCUCCAGCAGCUCGGGGGCAGGAAGUCAAGUCCCAGGGACCCGCUGGGCAUGGCCUUUCAGGGUGGGGUGUCAGGCCGCGGCCCACAGUGUUUUCUGGAGGGGUCCGUGGUUUGGAAGGGACAGGGAACUGAAUGACAGUUUGGAAGUUGAGCGCUGAGCAGCAUGGCUUUAUCUGGGACAUGGAGUGUACAGGCAGGUAAAUGAGGGCCCCUCCAGGAUCCCCCCUUGGGGUGUGGGGGUGAGGUUUCCCGAGCUGAUGUGUAGAGAGAGCUGGCCGGCCCUCGGCGCCCCGGGGAGGCCAGCGGUGGGCAGCCAGGACCCUUGAAGUCGAGGCAGUGUGGCGCUGCCUACUCGCCACGGCCAGGAGUUCCUGGGGUGUGAAGGGCCAGAAAGCAGCAGGGCAGCCGGGGGGCACUUCCAGAGGGGCUCAGGGGGCGGGGGGCGCAUGGUCUCAGCCCUGCAGGAGGGGACUCCAUGACUGCCACCUAGAGAGGAACCCCAGAGAGGCUGAAAGUGCAGGAGUCUGUGCCCAAGAUGUGGAGAGGAGGGGGCUUGCCUGGGGGUCAGGAGAGGAGGGGCCUGGGCCCUCUGUCCUGCUGCUGCAGCGGCUGCUCACACAUUAGACUCAACCCCCACUGGGCCCUAGUAGGGCCGUGCCCUGACUGGCUGGUAUCUCAGGCCUGGAAGAGCCAGGCUCAGGGGGACUUGGGGCCAGAGUGGGUGAGGGCAGGUGCGUGAUGCCACCAACUCUGGCCAGAACAGGCUUUGGGUGGGUGGGCACGGAAGGGUCCCAGAACCAGGCCUGGAGGUGGUGGGGGCCGGAUGCCCCCCAGCCAUUCCUCAGGGCCCCGCCCAGGCCUUGGCCUCUGGACGGGUCAGUCCCAACCCAAGUCCGGGCUCCUCCCUUCACCCGCCAUUGCCGCUCGGCCGUGGCCUUGGCCUUGGCCUGUGCAAAUCACUGUUCACAAAUGUGUAAGAUUUUCCAGGCCAGUUCGUUAUGGGAGACGAAUUUCAGGACAUGAACAUGAGUCUUUUUGCACCAUUUAUUUUUUGAAUUCUCCCUCUUCGUGGAAAAAUAGCUGCAAGUGUAAAAGUGAGUCAGCCCUGAGUCUUAUGAGACCUGCAAGGUGCGGACGGUGAAGGCAGGUACCCUGGAGAAGCUGGUGGGGCACCUGGUGCCCGCCUUCCAGGGCAGCGACCUCUCCUACGUCACCGUCUUCCUGUGCACCUACCGGGCCUUCACCACCACCCAGCAAGUCCUGGACCUGCUGUUCGAAAGAUACGGCUGCAUCCUGCCUUAUGCCCACGAGGACGGCGGGCCCCAGGACCAGCUGAAAAACUGGUGGCCUAUGUGCAGCUCAACAUGCCCGGCUCCGACCUGGAGCGCCGUGCCCACCUUCUCCUGGCCCAGCUGGAGCAUGCGGAGCUCACCCAGGCAGAGCCAGAGGCUUCACUGCAUCUCAGGAUCUAGCGAAGGUGCCAACACCAGCUCCUGGACCAUCUGAAGUUCUGGAUCCAGCGGAAGAAGCAGCAACAGAACCAAAGCCACAUCCUGCGCUGGAGGAACAUUUGCAUUCGUAGCCAGAGCGACACGGCGGGUCGGCAGCUCCAGAGCAAAGCAGACGCCACGGUCAGUUCCAUCAGCACCUCCACCCGGACCUGCGGCUGCACCUGCUCCUGCAGGAGACCCCGAGCAGGUCUUAAUAUAGUCACGCCUAGUGUUUUAAGGGCUACAUCACACGCCUCACGAGCACAUAGCACAUCCCCGACACCGAGCAGCCCUCCCUGUGUCCCGUGCAGACUGUGUCACUGCCCAGGACGAGACUCUGCCGGAAGCACUCACUCCCCACCGCCCCCCCAGCCCCCGGCAGCCCCUCAUCUGCCGUCUGUCUCUGUGUCUUCACCUGUUCUGGAUAUUUCCCAUAAAUGGAAUCCCACAACAGAUGAAAGAGGAGAUGCACAAAAUGAAGCCCUUUGAGUCACUGUGUGCGUCUGGGCAGUGUCCCCUGUUCUGAGUGUGACGUCAGAGCCAGAAGACCGACGGGAAACUCCUGGCUCUUCCUGUGGCCAAAACAGGAACAGGAAACACGUGGAAAGUGAGAAAGACAACCCACACACUGGAAGAGCCUCCUCACAGCCCAGGGCCAGGGCGACACGAGACAUCCCUGGGGUCCUGAAGACGCUCCAGAGCCAAUGCUUCUCUCCGGGUGGGGCCCCUCCCCUGCAGAGCCCAUCCCGGGACCCCGGCCGCAGGGAUCCCUGCACAGUGUCUCCAAGAUGUAUUUUCAAGAGGGUCCGGCACGGCACAGGCUGGAGUAUCAGGGACUGGAAACGCCAGUGUCCACGGAGAGGGGAUGGGAUGCAUCGGUCCUGGCCCACGUGGACCAGUGAGCUCUGGGCAGCUGCUAAUGUGGGUGUGGGGUCCCCACGUGCCGACAGAGACCCCGGGCGUUUUCUGACAUGGGCCACCUGUGGACUGUGUGCACCCAGGACCCCGUCUGUCAGACCACGUACACGUGAGGUCAGGGGGAGACACACACGUAUGAAACCGAAUCUGUGUAUGAGCGAGGAGACAGACAGAGAGACACGUGGCAAACCUUUGGUGAUGUGCGCCCUGGGGUGGGGUGUCCACGUCUUUCAUCUUUAAAUUUUUGU
rnacentral:lncRNA from 1 species